CUGUUUGUUGCCAAUGAUGGAUCCAUUGUUGAAUUGAUUACCUAUGAUUACGUUCAAUAUUUUGUCACUACCACUGAGGCAACAAUAAA